GGCUGGGGCCGGGAGCGGGGGGGCCGGGAGCGAGGGGUCCGGUACAGCGGCCUCCGAGGCCUCCUCGCCCUCCUCGCCCUCCUCGCCCUGAUCCUCGUUAGAGCCGAGGCUCGCCUGGAACUGGCGCAAUGUUUUUAACAGUGGCCCUACUCGGGAAGAGGAUCCCUGGAAAGCAGUGGAUUGGAAAAUACAGGCGGCCGAGAACAGUAACCAUUGCCAUGAAGCAGGCCAUGAUCCGAAGGCUGGAAAUUGAAGCAGAGAACGAAUACUGGCUGAGCCGCCCGUACCUGACACGGCAGGAGGAGUACAAUCACAACAAGGAUGUGAGAGUGGCCAGAUGGGAGGCUUUUAAAGCCAUGAAGUCGUCCAAGUUCCCUGAGCAUAGAUAUAUGAGCGACCACUUGAACCACUUAAAUGUCUCAAAGAAGUGGACCUCUUGAGCGGUGGCACGGCUGUACUUGUGCUGCUGGGAGAUGCAGUAUUGUACCCCUUGUGGCUGCUCUGUAAUGCAGUGUAACAAAGGCAGGGAGAGAUUCAUCAACUCAUGGCAUUUCUAAAUCUUCAAGGAGAAAACACCGUAAUCUCAUCCUGCAUUACACUUCUGUCCUCACAUUGGGAGUUUAAGUCAUUUUGUGCUUGUGAUUGUUGUAUGGAUUUUUUUAUAGAAGAAAAUCAAGCUUUCGGAAACACCAAAGCAUAGCUUCUGAUUGCAGCCAGUGUCAACUAUACUACAGUCACUACAAUGCUACUCGUGGCUAGCAGUUAUUUUGAGGGAUUUAAAAGCUUAAGCCCUGUUAUUUUUAGUGACAAACGUAAGUAUUUGCGAGACUUGCUGACACAUAGCAGCUUAAAGCACAGAAACAGCAUGUACCUCCUGACCCGGCACUGUCUGUCUUCCCUUCUUGCCUCCUGACCACGCAGGUCAGCUCCUCUCACUGGCAGCAUGCAGCGACUCAGUGCGUGGAUGUGGGCUGAAAGGACAUCCUAGUGUGCUCCUACAGAGCCCUGCCAGCAGCAGUCUGCUUGCAGCUUUACAGUCAAGCAGCUUUUCAUCCUCAUUGGGGUUGCAUUUAGGCAAAAAGAGGGAGCAAGCCAGAAACUAUCCCACUCUGCUUUGAUACAGCACAGGAUGCCCUUGCUUACGGCUAUGGAGCUGUCAGAUGAGAACUCUCAAAAGAACCAAAACGCACGGCACCUUACCAGACAACACGCACGGAUUCAGCCCAGUCUGUUUACUUACAUUUUUUUUCCUGUAGAUUAACUAUCCUGACUUAAGCAAUCAAAUAUUAUAGUGAUAUUAGCUUAUAGUACACACCAUUCACACAUAGGUGUAAACAUGUAUUUGUUACCUCUGCCGUGAUACAGUGAUCCAGUAAAAGAAAGAUGAUAUCCAGGGUCUUCCAUUACAAUUCUACUGGUGUUCUGGACUGCACAUUUUGGUACUUAGAAUGAGAAUACUGAGCUCAGGCUUGCGUCUCCAUCCUCUUCCCCAAGAAAUUUUGCGGAUGCAUUCUCUCCUUCUAAGAUCAACAUGUCAGUAUUCCUGAAAACUUAUAUUUAGAUGAGUGCUUUUCACUUGACAUUUGAGAAGAAAAAGCGAAACCUUUCAGAUUAAUGCAUAGCAAAUGUUUUUUCUUUGAAAACUGGCAAAUGCAAUAUUUAUCACACAAAGUUGGAAGAACAUUUUGCAAUUUCUACAAAACAUGCAGGUUUGUACCUUCAGUUCUGUCUCAGCAGUAUCUGACAGUGACCAUAAUAUGCUCAUAGGUCACUGAAGUGCUCCUGUUCUAGAAGACUGGAAAAAAUACUUUUUCCAAAAUGUCAAAGACAAAGAAAAUAUUUGUUUUAAACCUUGGAGUAUACUUGAUAUCCAAGUAACUCCAAUACAGUGAUGGGGAAAAGUAGUGAUCAAUCUGGCAAAGAAAGCGAAAGAGUUCCUUUUGUUCAGAUCAACAAAGCUACCACCUUCAUUUUCUGUCUAAGAGGUUUACGACUUUGUAAUCAGCAUCAGCUGAACAUCAGAAAAGCUUCAGACCACAGAACAGUAUUUUUCACUUCUGUCAUGUGCAAAAUGCCAGGAACAUCAAAAGCUGAAUUAACAGUAUUCUCUAUAGAGGAGUAGGGCGAAAAGAAAAACCAUGUUUGCUGUAGGUCUUGAGCUUAGUUGGACUUUAUUCCUCAACCCAGGAAACAUGUUUUGCCUUUUGUGAACAUGGUACAUCACUGAACAAAGCACUCAUCUUUAGCAGUUCAGCAUCACUUAAAAUCGACUUGAAAGUGGCAGACGAAGCAGACAGCAUACAGAGUUUUGGUGUGUUAACACAAGUGCAUGAUCCAACACUAACUUUCUCAUAAGUACUUGAAAUUUGUUUAAAUGGUACUUCAGAACCAAUAAAAACUUGUGUUUUUAUUAAAAAGAUAAAACAAAAGUAUAAAACAGUAUUUAUAAACCAUCAUGAGUCCCAUAUAAAAAGCAGUACGCUUCCAGUUCCAUUUUCUAACGACACGUGACUGCACUAAGAUUUUUCUCAGGGGUACAUUGCCAUUUUGUUACUGCCUCAUACAGAACACUGCAAACAUUAACUGAAAAUGUAACAGUUUGUUAAUUCCUUUUUCAAUUGGAUUUUCUUUUUAUGCUGAUAGGAAAUUGUUGAAAAGCAAUAAACCAUGUUUUUAUCAACUAAAA